GCUCGAGUGGUGAAAUUGGCAUACACGCAAGACUUAGGAUCUUGUGCCUCACGGCGUGAGGGUUCGACUCCCUCCUCGAGCACCA
rnacentral:tRNA from 1 species